rnacentral:rRNA from 1 species
AAUUAGAGGAAGUAAAAGUCGUAACAAGGUUUCCGUAGGUGAACCUGCGGAAGGAUCAUUAUUGAAAUAAACCUGAUGGGUUGUUGCUGGUUCUCUAGGGAGCAUGUGCACACCUUGUCAUUUUUAUAUCUCCACCUGUGCACUUUUUGUAGACCUUUUCAGGUCUAUGUUGCCUCAUUUUACCCCAAUGUAUGUCAAUAGAAUGUUGUGCCUAUAUAUAAUAUAUACAACUUUCAGCAACGGAUCUCUUGGCUCUCGCAUCGAUGAAGAACGCAGCGAAAUGCGAUAAGUAAUGUGAAUUGCAGAAUUCAGUGAAUCAUCGAAUCUUUGAACGCACCUUGCGCUCCUUGGUAUUCCGAGGAGCAUGCCUGUUUGAGUGUCAUUAAUAUAAUCAACCUUCUCUUGUUUUGAGAAUGGUUUGGAUGUGGGGGGUUUGCUGGCCUCUCUCAAAAGGUUCAGCUCCCCUGAAAUGCAUUAGCAGAACAACCUUUGCUCAUUGGUGUGAUAACUAUCUACGCUUAUGAAUAUGAGGGGCAGUUCAGCUUUCUAACGGUCUUUGGACAAUUCAUCAUUAAUGUGACCUCAAAUCAGGUAGGACUACCCGCUGAACUUAAGCAUAUCAAUAAA